rnacentral:lncRNA from 1 species
AACAAAAUAUCUCAAUCAUCGCAGCGGAGUUAAUUCAAAAAUCAUUAAUUGUCUUGGCACGCAGGCCCCAUCGUAAUAUCUCAAUAAAUUCAGUUAAACAUCAUAAAUGAACACGUAAAGAAAAUGAAGCAUGCAUAUCAUAAACCCCAUCCCGUUACGUAUCCGAGCAACCUAGGACUCAGUGAGGCAAGGCCAUCGUUAUUUUGAGCUAAUGCUCCAUCGUGGUGAGUACAAAGCUCCAGGGCAUGAGGCCCCAACAAAUGUAUGCUAAUGCAUGGACUCAAUCUCUUAAAACAUCUUAAUCAUCAUCUCAUAUACAUCCAAUAAUUUGGAGUUCAAGAUCAUCUUAUUCAUCUUACAAUGACUCAUGCAACUUGGUUAAAUAACAAUAGCAGCAUAGGCAGUUCACAACAACAUUAUGACAUCAUAUAGGAAUAUCAAAUAAAAUCAAGCAUCAACUCAAUCAUUCAUUCAUUAACAUCUCAGGUAAUGAAAUUAAUCAUUAAAUCACAUUAUAAUCAACUUAACAGUUCAUAAUAGCUUCACAAAUUGCAGUUAACAUCUUAUAUAGGUCACAAUACUACCUAAGGG